GGCCUGAUGGUCUAGUAGUAUGAUUCCUUGUUAGGGCUUUCACGUGAUGAAAAUUACGUAAGCAGCGUUCGAGACAGAGGUCCCGGGUUCAAUUCUCGGUUAGGCCC